rnacentral:rRNA from 1 species
CGGCCCAGACUCCUACGGGAGGCAGCAGUGGGGAAUAUUGCACAAUGGAGGAAACUCUGAUGCAGCCAUGCCGCGUGUGUGAAGAAGGCCUUAGGGUUGUAAAGCACUUUCAAUGGGGAGGAAAGGUUGUAAAUUAAUACUUUAUAACUGUGACGUUACCCAUACAAGAAGCACCGGCUAACUCCGUGCCAGCAGCCGCGGUAAUACGGAGGGAGCUAGCGUUGUUCGGAAUUACUGGGCGUAAAGCGCGCGUAGGCGGUUAUUCAAGUCAGAGGUGAAAGCCCGGAGCUCAACUCCGGAACUGCCUUUGAAACUAGAUAGCUAGAAUCUUGGAGAGGCGAGUGGAAUUCCGAGU